rnacentral:rRNA from 1 species
AUACAUAGGGGGCAAGCGUUAUCCGGAAUUAUUGGGCGUAAAGCGUGCGUAGGCGGUUUAUUAAGUCUGAUGUUAAAUCCCACAGCUCAACUGUGGGCUGCCAUUGGAAACUGGUAGACUUGAGUGCGGUAGAGGUAAGUGGAAUUCCAAGUGGAGCGGUGGAAUGCGUAGAUAUAUGGAAGAACACCAGUGGCGAAGGCGCUUCACUAGCCCGAAACUGACGCUCAGUCACGAAAGCGUGGGUAGCAAAUAGGAUUAGAUACCCUAGUAGUCCACGCUGUAAACGAUGACAACUAAAUAUUGCCGCGAGGCAGUGUUGAAGCUAACGCAUUAAGUUGUCCGCCUGGGGAGUACGGUCGCAAGACUGAAACUUAAAGGAAUUGACGGGG